CCCCGCGCACUCUAAUAAAAAACAUGUAAUCGUAUUUAUUUUCCUUCCAUUUUGUCAGAGGCGCUGAUGUCGGCAUUGUGAUUGGUGGAACAUGACUUUUGACAAAUCCUGCGCUAUCCGUGAAUCUGUUCAGUCAUUCUAUAUGGUCGGUUUAUGUAUGUGAUGUGUUUGUGUCACCAUAAAAAGCUGAUAUUCAGUCGUGUUUUUUGAUAUUUUUGUUAUUUUGUAAUCGAGUACCUUUUUAAAGGUCUAAUGGCUCCCAUCAGGUGUUGUGUGCAGACGGUGGAAAAAUUCAACGAGUAAACAUAUAUUUAAUCCAAAUUAAAUACUCAUAUUUCUAUGUAAAAUGUCACAUUAUUGUAUAAAUAAAUAAUUAAGAAACAAAA